AAAGGAAAUAAAGUUCGAUACAAAUGCUAAUGGCUUAAUACACAACCAUUCCUCAAUAUUUAUCCCAAUAUUUGGUUUGAACAUCUGAACUAACUGUGAAAUGCGUAGAGAUCGGAAAGAACAUCAACGGCGAAAGCACUCUGCUGGGCCGACAUUGACACUGAGAGAUGAAAGCUAGGGGAGCGAAUGGGAUUAGAUACCCCCCAGUAGUCCUAGCCGUAAAUGAUGGAUACUAGGUGUUGUGCGUAUUGACUCGUGUAGUGCUGUAGCUAACACGUUAAAUAUCCC
rnacentral:ncRNA from 1 species